GGACAGGAGGUCAUGGAGGGUGAGAACCCCGUAUGUGGCUUGGGGUGGGGGUCCUUGUGACGUAUCCUCUAAGAGUCGGGUUGUUUGGGAAUGCAGCUCAAAAUGGGUGGUAAAUUUCAUCUAAAGCUAAAUAUUGGUGAGAGACCGAUAGCAAACAAGUAGAGUGAUCGAAAGAUGAAAAGUACUUUGAAAAGAGAGUGAAACAGUACGUGAAAUUGUUGAAAGGGAAGCGUUUGGCAUCAGCCCAUGGCGGCGGUCGAACAUCUGGUCUUCUGCCCUUUGCACUCGGCAGUCGCCGGGCCUUGGGGGGGGGCCACCUGCUGGAGAAAGGCCUUGGGGAAGUGGCACUCCCUUGUGGAGUGUGUUAUAACCCAUGGCGUCAUGCGGCUUGGUGGGACCGAGGUCCGCGGUUUUGUCCUAGGACGCUGGCGUAAUGGUUCCAAGCGACCCGUCUUGAAACACGGACCAAGGAGUCUAACAUCUAUGCGAGUGUUUGGGUGUCAAGC
rnacentral:rRNA from 1 species